rnacentral:rRNA from 1 species
UACAGAGGGUGCAAGCGUUGCUCGGAAUCAUUGGGCGUAAAGGGCACGUAGGUGGUCUCAUUUGUCUCGUGUGAAAUCCUUGGGCUUAACCCAAGAAGUGCGCGAGAAACGGUGAGACUAGAGUUCUGGAGAGGGUCGUGGAAUUCCCGGUGUAGCGGUGAAAUGCGUAGAGAUCGGGAGGAACACCAGAGGCGAAGGCGGCGACCUGGACAGACACUGACACUCAACUGCGAAAGCGUGGGGAGCAAACAGG